UGGGGAAUUUUGGACAAUGGGCGAAAGCCUGAUCCAGCAAUGCCGCGUGUGUGAAGAAGGCCUUCGGGUUGUAAAGCACUUUUGUCCGGAAAGAAAUCCUUGGCUCUAAUACAGUCGGGGGAUGACGGUACCGGAAGAAUAAGCACCGGCUAACUACGUGCCAGCAGCCGCGGUAAUACGUAGGGUGCAAGCGUUAAUCGGAAUUACUGGGCGUAAAGCGUGCGCAGGCGGUUUGCUAAGACCGAUGUGAAAUCCCCGGGCUCAACCUGGGAACUGCAUUGGUGACUGGCAGGCUAGAGUAUGGCAGAGGGGGGUAGAAUUCCACGUGUAGCAGUGAAAUGCGUAGAGAUGUGGAGGAAUACCGAUGGCGAAGGCAGCCCCUGGGCCAAUACUGACGCUCAUGCACGAAAGCGUGGGAAGCAAACAGGAUUAGAUACCCUGGUAGUCCACGCCCUAAAACGAUGUCAACUAGUUGUUGGGGAUUCAUUUCCUUAGUAACGUAGCUAACGCGUGAAGUUGACCGCCUGGGGAGUACGGUCGCAAGAUUAAAACUCAAAGGAAUUGACGGGGUCAUAGCUGUUUCCU
rnacentral:rRNA from 1 species